rnacentral:misc_RNA from 1 species
GUAGCAUCCGUUAACGGCAUUGCGCCCGCGAUCCGCUCUCCCCCUCCGCGAACGGAGAGCGAGACCGGCUCGGAGGCAAGCGUCAUUCAAGGCAACCGAAGUUCGAAGGGACACGAUGGGGCAUCAACCCAUGUUCACCGCAUGGACUGCAUCCGAGAGAACGGUAUAUAUGCCCGUGUGCCGCAGAAGUCAUGACAAUGCAUGGACUAAUGUGGAGCACGUGCAUUACCGAGAAAUCCUCCGGCAACCCCGCAAAGGAAGCCCGGAUGGAAAGAGAAUCGCAAGCCACAUGAAUACCGUUUUAACAGGUAGUCAGCACAGGAACCGCGAAUGAACACCAGAGCC